CGGGUCGCCCAUGACCCAUGACCCGCGACCCGGUUCGUUUCCUUAAAGUCCAAUUCUUUUUUUUUUUUUUUUUGCUUUCUGCACACCCCUGUUUACUACUGCACCCCACCUUGUGUUUGGACCAUUUUUUUUAUUUUUCCUUAUUCCUUUUCGUAUUUGUUUAUUUAUUUUUAGCAUUUUAAUUUUUAUUGCAGACCUUAGAAUGUAAAUAGGUUUUUUUGUAAUAGUCAUAGAUUUUAUAUUUCUAACUUAGGGUAGCCGCGCUUUUAUUCUUUAUGCUCCGUUAGUUUAUAUAUUUAUUCAAAAAUCACAAAAACAUGCAAAUAACCAAAAAUCACAA
rnacentral:lncRNA from 1 species